rnacentral:rRNA from 1 species
AACGAACGCUGGCGGCAGGCUUAACACAUGCAAGUCGAACGCCCCGCAAGGGGAGUGGCAGACGGGUGAGUAACGCAUGGGAAUCUACCUAGUUCUACGGAACAACAGUUGGAAACGACUGCUAAUACCGUAUACGCCCUACGGGGGAAAGAUUUAUCGGAAUUAGAUGAGCCCGCGUAAGAUUAGCUAGUUGGUGAGGUAAUGGCUCACCAAGGCGACGAUCUUUAGCUGGUCUGAGAGGAUGAUCAGCCACACUGGGACUGAGACACGGCCCAGACUCCUACGGGAGGCAGCAGUGGGGAAUAUUGGACAAUGGGCGCAAGCCUGAUCCAGCCAUGCCGCGUGAGUGAUGAAGGCCUUAGGGUUGUAAAGCUCUUUCACCGAUGAAGAUAAUGACGGUAGUCGGAGAAGAAGCCCCGGCUAACUUCGUGCCAGCCGCCGCGGUAAAAC